ACAUUGGUGGUUCAGUGGUAGAAUUCUCACCUUCUAUGCGGGAGACCCAAGUUCGAUUCCCGACCAAUGCA
rfam:Loxodonta africana unplaced genomic scaffold scaffold_6, whole genome shotgun sequence.